GCAAGGUGUUGGUGAAAAUUUGACUGAC
rnacentral:piRNA from 1 species